AUUGAACGCUGGCGGCAGGCCUAACACAUGCAAGUCGAACGAGUGGCGGACGGGUGAGUAAUGUCUGGAAACUGCCUGAUGGGGGGGGAUCACUACUGGAAACGGUAUCUAAUACCGCAUCCCAUCAGCUUUGCCCAGAUGGGAUUAGCUAGUUGGUGGGGUAACGGCUCACCAAGGCGACGUUCCUUAGCUGGUCUGAGAGGAUGACCAGCCACACUGGAACUGAGACACGGUCCAGACUCCUACGGGAGGCAGCAGUGGGGAAUAUUGCACAAUGGGCGCAAGCCUGAUGCAGCCAUGCCGCGUGUAUGAAGAAGGCCUUCGGGUUGUAAAGUACUUUCAGCGGGGAGGCGUUACCCGCAGAAGAAGCACCGGCUAACUACGUGCCAGCAGCCGCGGUAAUUC
rnacentral:rRNA from 1 species